rnacentral:rRNA from 1 species
UACAUGGGGUGCAAACGUUGCUCGGAAUUAUUGGGCGUAAAGCGCGCGCAGGCGGUCCUUUAAGUCUGAUGUGAAAUCCCACGGCUCAACCGUGGAGGGUCAUUGGAAACUGGGGGACUUGAGUGCAGAAGAGGAAAGCGGAAUUCCACGUGUAGCGGUGAAAUGCGUAGAGAUGUGGAGGAACACCAGUGGCGAAGGCGGCUUUCUGGUCUGUAACUGACGCUGAGGCGCGAAAGCGUGGGGAGCAAACAGG